rnacentral:rRNA from 1 species
UACGGAGGAUCCAAGCGUUAUCCGGAUUUAUUGGGUUUAAAGGGUGCGUAGGCGGAAUGGUAAGUUAGUGGUGAAAGCCCCCAGCUCAACUGGGGAACUGCCAUUAAUACUGCCGUUCUUGAGUAUAGUUGAAGUGGGCGGAAUGUAUCAUGUAGCGGUGAAAUGCUUAGAUAUGAUACAGAACACCGAUAGCGAAGGCAGCUUGCUAAACUAUAACUGACGCUCAGGCACGAAAGCGUGGGGAGCAAACAGG